rnacentral:rRNA from 1 species
GAUGAACGCUGGCGGCGUGCCUAACACAUGCAAGUCGAACGGAGUCCAGCCUUUAAGACCUUCGGGUCAAAGAGGGGAAGACUGAGUGGCGGACGGGUGAGUAACGCGUGGGCAACCUGGCUCAUAGAGGGGGAUAACAGAGAGAAAUUUCUGCUAAUACCGCAUAAGCACACACUGCCGCAUGGCAGAGGGUGAAAAGAGAAUCGCUAUGAGAUGGACCCGCGUCUGAUUGGCCAGUUGGCAGGGUAAGAGCCUACCAAAGCGACGAUCAGUAGCCGAUCUGAGAGGAUGAACGGCCACAUUGGGACUGAGACACGGCCCAAACUCCUACGGGAGGCAGCAGUGGGGGAUAUUGCACAAUGGGGGGAACCCUGAUGCAGCGACGCCGCGUGAGUGAAGAAGUAUUUCGGUAUGUAAAGCUCUAUCAGCAGGGAAGAUAAUGACAGUACCUGAAUAAGAAGCCCCGGCUAACUACGUG